UACGUAGGGACCAAGCGUUGUCCGGAAUCAUUGGGCGUAAAGAGCGUGUAGGCGGCUUGUUAAGUCUUGCGUGAAAUCUCGGGGCUCAACCCCGAGCGGUCGUGAGAAACUGGCAGGCUAGAGUGCGGGAGAGGAGGGUGGAAUACCCAGUGUAGAGGUGAAAUUCGUAGAUAUUGGGUGGAACACCGGUGGCGAAAGCGGCUCUCUGGCCCGGAUCUGACGCUGAGGCGCGAAAGCGUGGGGAGCAAACAGG
rnacentral:rRNA from 1 species